GACGAACGCUGGCGGCGUGCUUAACACAUGCAAGUCGAACGGAAAGGCCCUGCAUUUGUGUGGUGCUCGAGAGGCGAACGGGUGAGUAACAAGGGAGUAACCUGCCCUUGACUUUGGGAUAACUUCAGGAAACUGGGGCUAAUAACGGAUAGGAGCUCCUGCUGCAUGGUGGGGGUUGGAAAGUUUCGGCGGUUGGGGAUGGACUCGCGGCUGAUCAGCUUGUUGGUGGGGUAGUGGCUUACCAAGGCUUAGACGGGUAGCCGGCCUGAGAGGGUGAGCGGGCACAGUGGGACUGAGAUACGGCCCAGACCCCUACGGGAGGCAGCAGUGGGGAAUAUUGCACAAUGGGAGGAAGCCUGAUGCAGCAACGCCGCGGGCGGGAUGACGGCCUUCGGGUUGUAAAGCGCUUUCGCCUGUGACGAAGCGUGAGUGACGGUAAUGGGUAAAGAAGCACCGGCUAACUACGUG
rnacentral:rRNA from 1 species